UGAUUCCAAGAAUAAACUGUAAUUGGCUUCCAUUGCGAAACGUUUUGCAACAUUUACAUUUACAUUUAAGUCAUUUAGCAGACGCUCUUAUCCAGAGCGACAACAUAUUAUUAUUAUUAUUAUAUAUUAUAUUAACAGAAUCUGACUCAUGACUACACCCCAGGUGCACUGCACCAGUGGUAGGAGCAGGGAAGGUAUGGUUUGUUCCCUGUUAUCCAUGUUCUCUUCAUAUGGUGUUAUACCAGUACACUAUUACAACCCUGUUCUCUUCAUAUUGGCUCAUUCCAAUACACCAUUACCAAUACCUCGCUUUAUUUGAGACAAGUCCUUUAUUACAUAAGUCUGUUGGACCAAAAACAGUGACUGUUCCCAGUACACUAUAUUACCAACACAUUUAUUACAUAGUCUGGUCUUUGUCCAACAGGUUGACUGUUCCCAGUACACUAUUACCAACACAUUUAUUACAUAGUCUGGUCUUUGUCCAACAGGUUGACUGUUCCCAGUACACUAUUACCAACACAUUUAUUACAUAGUCUGGUCUUUGUCCAACAGGUUGACUGUUCCCAGUACACUAUUACCAACACAUUUAUUACAUAGUCUGGUCUUUGUCCAACAGGUUGACUGUUCCCAGUACACUAUUACCAACACAUUUAUUACAUAGUCUGGUCUUUGUCCAACAGGUUGACUGUUCCCAGUACACUAUUACCAACACAUUUAUUACAUAGUCUGGUCUUUGUCCAACAGGUUGACUGUUCCCAGUACACUAUUACCAACACAUUUAUUACAUAGUCUGGUCUUUGUCCAACAGGUUGACUGUUCCCAGUACACUAUUACCAACACAUUUAUUACAUAGUCUGGUCUUUGUCCAACAGGUUGACUGUUCCCAGUACACUAUUACCAACACCUCAUUUAUUACAUAGUCUGGUCUUUGUCCAACAGGCUGACUGUUCCCAGUACACUAUAUUACCAACACCUCAUGGUCUUUGUCCAACAGGCUGACUGUUCCCAGUACACUAUAUUACCAACACCUCAUGGUCUUUGUCCAACAGGCUGACUGUUCCCAGUACACUAUAUUACCAACACCUCAUGGUCUUUGUCCAACAGGUUGACUGUUCCCAGUACACUAUUACCAACACCUCAUUUAUUACAUAGUCUGGUCUUUGUCCAACAGGCUGACUGUUCCCAGUACACUAUAUUACCAACACCUCAUGGUCUUUGUCCAACAGGCUGACUGUUCCCAGUACACUAUAUUACCAACACCUCAUGGUCUUUGUCCAACAGGCUGACUGUUCCCAGUACACUAUAUUACCAACACCUCAUGGUCUUUGUCCAACAGGUUGACUGUUCCCAGUACACUAUUACCAACACCUCAUUUAUUACAUAGUCUGGUCUUUGUCCAACAGGCUGACUGUUCCCAGUACACUAUAUUACCAACACCUCAUGGUCUUUGUCCAACAGGCUGACUGUUCCCAGUACACUAUAUUACCAACACCUCAUGGUCUUUGUCCAACAGGUUGACUGUUCCCAGUACACUAUUACCAACACCUCAUUUAUUACAUAGUCUGGUCUUUGUCCAACAGGCUGACUGUUCCCAGUACACUAUAUUACCAACA